rnacentral:rRNA from 1 species
CCCUGCCAUUUGUACACACCGCCCGUCGCUACUACCGAUUGAAUGGCUUAGUGAGGCGUUCGGAGAGUCUAUAAAGAGGUGUCACCACCACUUUACUGGUUCAAAGUUCUACAAACUUGGUCAUUUAG